rnacentral:rRNA from 1 species
UGGGGAAUAUUGCACAAUGGGCGCAAGCCUGAUGCAGCCAUGCCGCGUGUAUGAAGAAGGCCUUCGGGUUGUAAAGUACUUUCAGCGGGGAGGAAGGGAGUAAAGUUAAUACCUUUGCUCAUUGACGUUACCCGCAGAAGAAGCACCGGCUAACUCCGUGCCAGCAGCCGCGGUAAUACGGAGGGUGCAAGCGUUAAUCGGAAUUACUGGGCGUAAAGCGCACGCAGGCGGUUGAUUGAGUCAGAUGUGAAAUCCCCGGGCUUAACCCGGGAAUUGCAUCUGAUACUGGUCAGCUAGAGUCUUGUAGAGGGGGGUAGAAUUCCAUGUGUAGCGGUGAAAUGCGUAGGGAUGUGGAGGAAUACCGGUGGCGAAGGCGGCCCCCUGGACAAAGACUGACGCUCAGGUGCGAAAGCGUGGGGAGCAAACAGG